rnacentral:rRNA from 1 species
CCUACGGGUGACAGCAGUGAGGAAUAUUGGUCAAUGGACGAGAGUCUGAACCAGCCAAGUAGCGUGAAGGAUGACUGCCCUAUGGGUUGUAAACUUCUUUUAUAAGGGAAUAAAACGAGGUACGUGUGCCUUUUUGCAUGUACUUUAUAAAUAAGGAUCGGCUAACCACGUGCCAGCAGCCGCGGUAAUACGGAGGGUCCGAGGGUUAUCCGGAUUUAUUGGGUUUAAAGGGAGCGUAGAGGGGUUGUUAAGUCAGUUGGGAAAGUUUGCGGCGCAACCGUAAAAUUGCAAUUGAUACUGGCAGUCUUGAGUGCAGUUGAGGUAGGCGGAAUUCGUGGUGUAGCGGUGAAAUGCUUAGAUAUCACGAAGAACCCCGAUUGCGAAGGCAGCUUACUAAACUGUGACUGACAUUGAUGCUCGAAAGUGUGGGUAUCAAACAGGAUUAGAUACCCGAGUAGUC